AAAACUCCCUGCUGAUGCUGGGCUGAGACCUGUCAGCAGAUAAGGAGUUUCUGUCUGGUGACUAAAGAUGCCACCGGGAAAGGGGGGACUCCUGGGCCACCCACCUGUCCCUGACUCCGCAGGGACAGGGCUCCGGGACACUGCUGACGGGUGGGGGCUGGAGGUGAGGUCCUGCAUGUCCCCAUCCCCCCUCCUUGGCUUUCCUGUAAAACUGGGGGUAAUUAAGCUGCUCAUAAGCCAUUAGGUGAAGAGUCACGCAGGGUGUGACUCACCCCUGGGCUUCAACUAGGUAUCGAAAUAAUAAAGCUGUAAGAGGAGAUAAUCUGGAUAUAGAGACUCCAGCUCCUUGGAAGUACAGGGACCACAGGCAAUGAGUUAAGAGAAAGGAUGAACUAUCCAUUUUUAAUGUCCUUUUAUUUUCCUUGUCUUUUCUUUUGGUUUUGGAAACAAACACAGACCCUCACAUAAGCUAAGCAUGUGGCCUGCCACUGGGCUAUGCCCUUACCCCCAUUUUUAAGGCUUUGAAGGGAGAAAAUGAAAAACCCUAAAAGCUGCCAGUUUUCAACACAGGUGAAGUCUGUGGAUAGCUUCCAGGCUGGGAUUGCAGCGCCAUGGGAGGCUGGCAGGGAUGAAGGCAGCUGAGUUUUCUUGCCUGCUGCCCCUCUGGGCUGCCCCAGGGAUGUUGGUGGAAGCAGCUUGGAAAGGUGUCAGCUUGGCAGUGAGGAGAGAGAAAGCUGGUGAGGGAGGACUAAGCAGCACGGCCUCUUCUGAGUAAACUGUCACCAGAACUGUGGGAACAGUUCCCUGAUGUGACUCCGAUGCAGCCUUGAAGUCUGAGUGAUGAGGUGGCCACCAGCUUGGAAGACGCUGCUGCAGCCCCAGGAGACUGGCCCCAGCCUUGGACAAGAUCCAGCAGCCCUGCCAGAGAUGGCUUUACAGGAGUGUUUGAAGUGGCCUUAGUUACCUUCCUUCUGGGUCUCCAGGCUUCCUGUCCACGUCCCAUUCACAAAGCCCAGGACUGGGCCAAUUCCACCAGGGUGCCUGGGCCCAGAGAGCGGGUUGUCAUGGCCGAGGUGCCUUUGCAGUAUUUUGCAGUGGUGAGAGUCCACCUGAGCAGUGGUCCUGCGUCUGCAGUGGGAGGCCUCAGGUGCUGCAGCACAGGCCCCCGGGUCUGCGCACUACACAGAGCUCCACACAGCACACCACGGGGGCACAGUACACGUUUGUCAAACGAACAGUAACUUUUCUUUUUUGCAAUACUAGGAAUUGAACCCAGGGUUCUCACGCUGAGCUACCUCCCCAGCUCUUCUUAUUGUUGCCCAGCCUUGGCUCAAAUUUGAGAUCCUCCUGCCUCAGUGGAGAGUGAACCCAGAAGGGGCUUAGGAAGCCUGGAGGAAGUGACGCCUAAAUUGGGAUACGGAGCCUGUUGCCAUGGUGUAUGUCCGGAAUACCAGCACUCCAGGAGACUGACAUAGGAGGAGCACAGCCCCUAGGGAGGCCCUCACCUCCCUGGGCCCGUUUCUUCUGAGAAAGGAAGCCAACCUCCGUGCCAGCUUUGGGGGAUGAAAUGAAACCACCGAGGCAGCGUCCCUUUGCUUGCCUGUGAGCUCCCCCCCCCCUUCUGACUCUCCUGGCUGGCGCACGAGGCGGGUGCCAGGCCCAGCAGCUCCAGCACACAGUGCCC
ensembl:lncRNA